rnacentral:sRNA from 1 species
GCCCGAAGAAGCCGAAAGCUUGGAUGGCUGGGAUG